rnacentral:rRNA from 1 species
UACGUAGGGAGCAAGCGUUGUCCGGAUUUAUUGGGCGUAAAGCGCUCGUAGGCGGCUUAGAAAGUCAGGUGUGAAACCUCCAGGCUCAACCUGGAGACGCCACUUGAUACUUCUAUGGCUUGAGUUCGGUAGGGGUAAGCGGAAUUCCUGGUGUAGCGGUGAAAUGCGCAGAUAUCAGGAGGAACACCGAUGGCGAAGGCAGCUUACUGGGCCGAAACUGACGCUGAGGAGCGAAAGCGUGGGGAGCGAACAGG